UGGGGAAUAUUGCACAAUGGGGGAAACCCUGAUGCAGCAACGCCGCGUGAAGGAAGAAGGCCUUCGGGUUGUAAACUUCUGUCCUAGGGGAAGAAACAAAUGACAUUACCCUUGGAGGAAGCCCCGGCUAACUACGUGCCAGCAGCCGCGGUAAUACGUAGGGGGCGAGCGUUAUCCGGAAUUAUUGGGCGUAAAGAGUGCGUAGGUGGCAUCUUAAGCGCAGGGUUUAAGGCAAUGGCUCAACCAUUGUUCGCCUUGCGAACUGGGGUGCUUGAGUGCAGGAGGGGAAAGUGGAAUUCCUAGUGUAGCGGUGAAAUGCGUAGAUAUUAGGAGGAACACCAGUGGCGAAGGCGACUUUCUGGACUGUUACUGACACUGAGGCACGAAAGCGUGGGGAGCAAACAGGAUUAGAUACCCUGGUAGUCCACGCCGUAAACGAUGAGCACUAGGUGUCGGGGUCGCAAGACUUCGGUGCCGCAGUUAACGCAUUAAGUGCUCCGCCUGGGGAGUACGCACGCAAGUGUA
rnacentral:rRNA from 1 species